UGUGAAAUUUUUAAUUAUUUGUAAAUUCUCUAACAAUCUCUUGGAACUAAGAAAUUUAGAUUAAAAACCAGGAUUAGAUACCCUGUUAUUCUAAAUAAUCACAUGAGUAGGGUAGUAAAAGUUGUUCUUCAAACCCAAAGAUUUUGGCGGCAUUCCAUCCCAAUAGAGGAGCUUGUCCUGUAAUUGAUAGACCUCAUUUUAUCUUACCCUCUUUUGUUUAGCUUGUAUACCGCCGUUGUCAGACUACUUUAAAAGAAUGUUUUCUAUAAAAAUAUUUUUUCCACUUCAGGUCAAGGUGCAGCUUAUGGGAGGGUAGCGAUGAGCUACAAUUUUAAAUAAAAAUACGGACUCUAGGUUUAAAAACCGGAGGAAGGUGGAUUUAUUAGUAAAUUUAUUUAAGUAUAAUAAAUUGAAUAAGGCAAUGGAA
rnacentral:rRNA from 1 species